rnacentral:misc_RNA from 1 species
UGUGGGAGCUGGCUUGCCUGCGAUGACGGUGGGUCAGUUAAAGGUGGGUUGGCUGAUAAACCGCCAUCGCAGGCAAGCCAGCUCCCACA